rnacentral:miRNA from 1 species
UAGAAGAUGUCCACAUGAGCA